rnacentral:lncRNA from 1 species
AUCAUCACCACUACUGCUGCCACCACAACUGUCAUCAUUUUAACAUACUUUUCCAUGCUUACAUGGAUCAGAAAGAGAUUAUUAAGGCAGAUUUUCUAUGACUGGAUGCCCUUCCUGUUGCUAAACCUCACCUAUUUCCAAGCAAGGUAAUAGUUCCCCAUAUCCAGACAUAAUUUAAUAGAAUAUUGGAAGUGGAUGGCAUUGCUUGUAUGAGUGUCACUGCAUGAGUGGCACUGCAUGAGUGGCACUGCAUGAGUGGCACUGCAUGAGUGGCACUUAUUUACAACAAACAUACAAAACUUAGAUACAGAUGAAGACAUACAUAGUCACACACACACACACACACACAAAAUGGGUUGCUUUUAGUUUCCAUUCACUAAAGCUACUCACAAGGCUUUGGUCAGCCCACAGCUGCCCAAGUUGCCAUGUAGUGAAAGGGAACAUGAAACCUUGUUGUUGGCAAGCAGACCUCUUAACUACACAGCCACUUUCAUGUGUGUGUGUGAAGGAGGGGGUAUGUUAUAUAUUUACACACAUACAUUCAUCAUCAUCAUCAUCAUCAUCAUUAUUAAUCAUCAUUUUAACAUAGAGUCAAGACAAGAGUCACACAAGCAGAAAUGUACACAUAUUUACAUGGCAGGCUUCUUUUCAGUUUCUACCUAACAAAUUCACUGCCAAAAUCAUGUAACUGCAGAGCAAACUUCUUUACACAGCCAUGCCUACACCUUUAUUAAAUACAAAUUCAAAGUUGACUUUCAUAAUGCAUCUUUUGUGUUCACUUAGAAGAGAAGUUUCCUGAUAAUGAAGUGCAAGAAUGGUCAGCUUUUAUUUUCUUCAGUUGUGACUUGGUGUGUGUGUGUGUGUGUGUUACAGCACAUAAUAUUUUGGAGAUUAUUUACAAAACACUGCUUAGCUAAUGGAACAGAGAAGAUGUAACUAAAAAUGUCGAUUGUAUCCCAUUUCACUAGAAGAUAAUAAACACGUGAUUAGCUGCAACCCCCGCCCCCACUUCAUAUGUUACUAAGGCCUUACCUACCAAUGUAGCAUGAUGUAGUUGCUAAAAUAUACAAUGACAUCAAACAUUAAAAAAAUGUAUUUGAUGAUGGUGACAUAUAUUCAUUUCAACACAUGGAAACGUCCACCAAAUGCAAACAUAACAGGCCUAGUGAAGUUUGGUUAAGAUAGAAGAGAAAAAAUAUGCAUGCUCAUAGAAGCCAGUUGCCCUGCCAAUGUGUGAGCAUUUCUUUUAGAAUCUGUGAGAAGGAGAAUAUUUAUGGGCAAUUGCAUUUUAGGCCUAUUCUCUACUCGGAUUCUAUGUAUUUAUUUGCAUAAAUCAUUAGUUAAGCUUGGUUAAGGCAUAACUGCCUAAAUGACAAAUCUUGCCAAACAGAGAUUUAAAGGUAAAGAAAAUGGCCAGUGUACAAGCUCAUUGCAAAUACAAUUUGUAAGUGGAAUGGUACAAAUAUACAAGAAAUUUUCUAAAAUUCAACAUGGUUAUCUAAAUUUCAAAACUUUGUCAGAAACCUCUUCUUUCUGUUGAGCCAGAAUUCACAGAAUUCAAAAUAAAAACUAAUGCAUGUAUGCAUAUAUGUUUAUAUCUACAUACAUGCAUGUGUGUGUGUGUGUGUAUAUAUAUGCAUGUGUGUGUGUGCAUGCAUAUAUUUACACAUAUAUAUGUUAUAACAUACAUAUGCCAAAAAACACACAUCAGUUUCCUAUUUCUUUCUUGUUAAUCUGACAGUGUAUUGUUUAAAACCCAGAUAUACAUUUAGUGAAAAACUGUAAUGAUAGCCAAUAUUAAACUUUAUGAUCAGAAAUAUAUCAGACACACCCCAUCUCAUAGUUACAUGCAGCCAUCAUAUAUUCUUUCUUACAUUAGUGAAUAAUCUCAGACUCCAGAAACUAAAUUAUCACCAGACUUAUCAGCCUCACCCUCAUUAUCUUCAAUGGUCAUCAUUAUAAGCAGUAUUUCUAUCCAUUGUUUUUUAGUCUCCUCCCAUACUACUAUGGGUCAAACAGUCAGAUAUUGGUUAGAUGGACAGCAAGAUUUUCAAACCUCCUGUUGCUAACAUGGUACCAUUUGUGUUGCUAAGCAGUAUUACUAAUGAGCUAAUUAGCUAUUAAACUGACAGAAAAACCUAACGAACAACAAUGACAGGAAUAAAUCCAAUGAAGGAUAAAAAUUCUCUUAUUGAUUUUUUUUUGUGAGACAGCAUGUGUGUGUGUGUGUGUGUGUGUGUGUGUGUGUCUUCAUGUAUCCUAGAGUCAAACAUGUUCAGUUUCUUAUUUUCCUCUAUAAUAUUGUAAAGCUGUGUUACAGUGUCACUAAAUAAAUGAUGAUGGGGAUGAUGGUGCCUGGGAAGUAGAGGGAGUCAUUUACUUGCUAAAGUAGCCAUCUUUCUUGCUAGUUUUCUUUCUACUUAACUAUCUACCUGUAUGUCUGCUUGCCUACAUAAAUGGUUGCUUACUUCAACUAUAUAUAAAUAUAAAUAUAAAUUUAAAUAUAUAUAUAUAUAUAUAUCAUCAUCAUCAUCAUCAUCAUCAUCAUCGUUUAACGUCCGCUUUCCAUGCUAGCAUGGGUUGGACGAUUUUGACUGAGGGCUGAUGAACCAGAUGGCUGCACCAGGCUCCAAUCUUGGUCUGGCAGAGUUUCUACAGCUGGAUGCCCUUCCUAGCGCCAACCACUCCGAGAGUGUAGUGGGUGCUUUUUACGUGUCACCGGCACGGGAGCCAGUCAGAGUGAGGGGGCUGGUAUCGACGAUGUUCAGAUGGUGCUGUCUACGUGCCAUCGGCAUGGGACCUAGUCAGGUGGCACUGGCAUCGGCCAUGUUCAGAUGGUGCCUUUUACGUGCCACUGGCACAGGAGCCAGUUGAAGUGAGGGGGCUAGCACUGACCACAUUUGGAUGGUGCUUUUUAUGUGCCACCAGCAUGGGAAGCCCAGUCAAGCAGCACUGGCAACGACCCACGCAUGAAUGGUGUUUAUUGCAUGCCACCAGUACGGGAGCCAGUGAAGCAGCACUGGCAUCAGCCACAACUACAAUUUCCAUUUGAUUGUGAUUUGAUUUGAUUUUGAUCUUGAUAUAUAUAUAUGCUUAUAUAUAUAUGUACAUAUAUACUUGUGUGUGUGUGUGUGUAAGUAUAUAUAUAUAUAUAGAGAGAGAGAGAGAAAGAGAGAGGGGAGAGAAGGAGAGAAUGAGGGAGAGAGAGAGAGAGAGCUAAUGUUGCAAAUAAACAAAUAAAGAAGGCUUGUUAUAUAAAAUAUACAUACAUAUACACACGCCAACAGGGAGAAGCAAAGACUGAAAAUAUUCAGACAAUGAACACUAAUGUAUAAAUAUAUAGAUAUUUAUAUAUUAACAGAGCAGAUUUUCAAAGACGCAGAAAACUAAGAGGAGAAGGUAUGAUAUUACAGGUGCGUCAAAUAUUUCUUGGUUUCAGAACUACAUAAUAAUAUUGAGAAAUGGAGUUCACACAAAGUUAAUUAUAUGCAACACGUAGUGGAUGCAUUUAAACACUACAGUCAAUUAGGUGUCUGUGUUCAGCUCAACUGGAUUCCUUCUAUAGCCACACUUUACCCUGUGGACUUAAUCCUUGGUAAAAUUUCAGAGUGUAAGUUCAAAUCAUUUGAGCACUACUAAGUGUUUUCUAUAUUGAGCAUCUCUGGAUCUCAUCUGUUGACUGUUUCUCUCUCUCUCUCUCUCUCUCUAUAUAUAUAUAUAUAUAUAUAUAUAUAUAUAUAUAUUUAUAAAUAAGGAUAAUAUCGAUAUUAUCAAGUGGCCAGCAUGGGAAUAAAUUACCAUACAAAGGUAAUAAUUUUUUACAAUUAAAAAUAAGGGUGUCUGAGAGACACCACCAUGCCGAAAUGGCAGUCAAAUCCCUGACUCUAAAAACCACCUUAAAUGUUCAUAUCGCACCAUGAGAUAAGACAGAGGAACAAAGUCUAUUUUGGCAUGGUGGUGUCUCUCAGACACCCUUAUUUUUAGUUAUAUAUAUAUAUAUAUAUAUAUAUAUAUAUAUAUAUGUUAUGCUAAGAAGCAAUGCAUAGUACUAGAAUUUUUGACUUGAGUCACAAAAACAAACUACCCGAAAUCAUUGUCAGAGUAUCUGUAUAAGUGGAGUCUGGACCAGUUAGUUUUUACUGGUAUUGAGUCAUAUAAGUUACACUUAUGAAGUCACACCAAAUUGUGAUAUUUUGAAAUCAUUUAAGACACACAUUUUGGGUGUGCAUAAUAUAUAAUUGGAAAUGCAUCCAUUUUGUAAGACCUUUCUCAGUUAAAGCAUUUCAAAACAUGAAGCAAUUGAUGGGAAUAUUUCAGUUUAUAUGGUUAAAGCAGUAAGAUGGCUUCUAAGUUAGGAGGAUGGAUAUGUGUAUAGAGGGGUAAAAAAGAAGGGGAUAAAAGGAGCAAGAGAAAGGGAGAAUGAAAGGUAAAGAGAAGAGGAUUUAUAAAAUGAGGUGGUGGGGCUUUAAAAUUUGGGUAUUUUAGCCAAUCAGAAGCGAGUAUUUUACAAAAGCAAGUUCUGUUAGCAUAUUAAGCAAAGAAGCACCACGUGUUCCAUAGCUGAUUGUGAGGAACUCUGUUUCCACAGUAACCAAAGAUGCUGCACAUGUGCACAAGGAGUGUUAUCACCAAAUUGAGUGUAAUCAAAAAAUUGAGAGUAGUUGGGCAUCUUUAAAGCGUGGAACAAACACCGGUGUGGGACACACCAUUCCAUGGUUGACUCUUAUCUUUGUGAAUUUAUGUGGAAGAGAUAUGAGAAAAGCAAUUUAUUUCAUAAAAUCCUAGAGUGUAUUGCAAACUUUCGUUCUUGAGUUCUUUAAUGACUGUUUAAAUGACUGUUUAAGCAAUGUUUUGACUGUUAUUUCUAGCAACUCCAGUUGCUUUUCUCAUAGCUUUUAAAUAUUUAAUUUGCCCACGAAUCUUUUAAUGUUUUACACUGUUUACUAGUUUAAUGUUUUGACAUGUCGGUUCCCCUCCUCCUUUCUCACUACUGUGACAGAUGAUAGAAGAGGCAGCGAACACGGUCUUUUGUGGUUGGCUGAAAAUUCUGAAAAUUAUCAAACGUUGAACACCUGCGACAUUUUUGCAAAAAAUUUCUAGAAUAAAUGAAUAAUGACAAAUUCAGGUUCAGUGUCAAAAAUUACAUCUUUGUGCUACAUUAAAAAUUUUUUUUAAAGAUUUCGACAUGCAGUGAUGAUAACCACAAAGAUCCAGCACAAGUCCUGAAAUUUUGGCAUAGGAGGCUAGUUGAUUCCCUCAUCCCCAGUGUUCAACUCUUGGCAGAAUUCAAACUCAGAACAUUAAGCUGGAAGAAAAUGUCCCUAAGCAUUUUACCUGAUGUGCUAAUGAUUCUACCUGCUUGUCAUCUUAUUUGGCUCUCAUACCCAAUUUUUCUCUUAAAUCAUUUACACUCUGUUAUUCAUACACAGCACACUGGCUUCAUUUCUUUCUAGCCUUUGCAUGUCCUUUGUAGUCACAGUCCAUGUUCCACGGCCUCUAACAUAGAUGUUCAUACACAAGCUUCAUACUAUCUGACCUUCACUUUGAGGGAGAGGCACUUAGGUGGAAGCUUUUUGAACUUUGCCCAGCCCAUUCUUAUUCUAGUAACUAUGCUUUCAGAGCAUCCUCCUCCACUGUCAAUUUGGUUACCUAUGUAGCGGAAGUUAUCAACUACUUCUGAAGACCCCCUGAACGUUUGCAGAAAUCUAUUUUAUGUACAUUAUUAGUGCUUAUUGUACCUGCACAUUUGCCAUACACAAAGACUACUUUCUCUCUUAACCUUUCUGUGAUAUCACUGCACUUCUUAUCUGUCCAUAGUUUGCUGCAUUUGGCAUACAGUAUGGAACUUCUUCCUACACCUGAAGGGAUUAGUACUUAGUCUGUUUUCCUAAUUACUAGGACUAUGGUCUUUGCUAAAUUAAUUCUAAGGCCCUUUGUUUUAGACUUUACUUCAACACCUGAAAUUUCUUCUCUAUUACUGAUAGUGAUUCAGCUAUAAAGACAAAGUCAUCAGCAUAGAGGAGCUACGAAGGUCAGACAGUCAGUCUUAAAUUCCUUUGUUAUAGCCUGGUGGUCUAUAAUAAACAAGAGUGGAUGGAGGACUGAUCCUUGGUGAACACCUACUGGAACACUAAAUUCAUUGUUAUACUCAUAGCUGACUGCCACCUUACUGACUGUAUCUCUGUACAUGGCUUGUAUAGCUCACACCAACCACUAAUUUAUUCCUAGCUUCUGCAUCGACCGCUUGAUAAGAGAGCAGGGGCCUAGUCAAAAGGUUUUCUCACGUCCAUCAUACUCUUGUUCCUUUCACCUACCAAUCAUAUUCUCUCUUUUUCUUCUCCUUGGACACCUGACCAAAUAUACAUAUCUAGAUUACUGAGUGCUCUCUACACUAGCACUGUUACCUCUCUCACCCACUCAUUUCUGGCCUUUCUGCUGUCAUCAUCUUUUCUCUUCUAUUCCUCUUUGCAGUUCAUAUAUCAAUAGAUAACUGGAAUACUUUUUACAUACACAGUCUACAAAGUUCCCCCAACCCCUUUAAGCCUGUCAUGCCAAAGACUUAACAGCUCUAGCAUUGGUGGCCUAAGAAAACACAUCACCUGAACUGGUUCAGUAUUUCUAGAAGCUUGGACUGGUUGUAUGCCAUUGUCUCACAUUUAUUCCACACACACACACACACACACAUAUGUGUGUAUGCAAACAUAUGCAUACAUCCACAGGAAGGAGAUGAGCAGAGAUGGCUAGAUAGAGAAGUGGUGGUAGUAAUGGUGUCAGCCAUUAUCUAUAACACAGAAUCAUCAAUCACAGUGUGUUUGUUGAUUAUAGUUUAUUAUGGUAUUGUGUUACUGAUUUUGUAUCUUGGUGGAGAUAGCAAUGGUGGUAAUACAAAAGGUGGUAAGGAGUGUGUAUAUUGGUGUAGUAUAUCUUUCAGUAUUGAUUUGUAGGAAACAAGUGAUGUUAGUGUUGUAUUAGUGCGAUUGUCUUUGUUACUAUCAACUUCAUUUGAGUGCAUCACUAGUGUAGGGUUUAUCUUAUAAUAGUGUUGGUGUGUGUGUAGUAUUAGUCCUGGACUAGCGUUGAUAGUACUCUAGAUUUAGUGUGGGUGUAGUAUUUAUCUAAGAAUGAUAUUGAGAGAUGUGUAGAUUUGAUGAGAGUCGAAGUGCUAGUCUCAGAACAGUGUUGAUGUAGCUGUAGAUUUGGUAUGAGUCCAGUAUUGUGUGGCACAUGUAUAAAGUUGUAGUGAAUGUAAUUUUAAUGUGUACAUAGUACCAGUCUUUCUGUAGAGUUAGUGUAUAUUUUGCAUUGGAAUGGAUGCUAUUUUACUCAGAGUAUGCCAUAUUGAUGAUGUACAAAAAGAUGUGAGUAUCUGUUAAUGUGAGAUUGCAUGUGUAUAUAAUGGAUAUGUAUAUGUAUGAUAACAUAAAUGUAGAUGUAUGUGUGAAUGUGCACAUAUGUAUCAGUAAGCAGCAUAGCUUUUAUAUGUAUACAGAUUGGAGUCAGGUGCAGCCAUCUGGCUUGCCAGUCCUCAGUCAAACCGUCCAACCCAUGCCAGCAUGGAAAGGGGACGUUAAACGACAAUGAUGAUGACUUGUUUUGUCUGGAGAAGCAAAUCAGUUUGUUUAGGUAAAGACUUAUGUAUGUUUGUUACACAGUAUGUGUAUACAAUUCUGCUUAUAUAUGUAUGUGUUUAUGUGAUUAGGCAUUAAUGUAAAUCUAUUUUUAUUCAAAUGUGUUUUUUUAUGUAUGCUAAGUCUCCGGGUGUGUGUGUAUAUGCACACAUAUACUCAUACACACAUGCAUAUAUAUAUAUGUAUGCAUCUGUGUGUGCGUUUGUGUGUGUGUGUCUGUCUGUUCAUUGAUCCAUGAAAAAUUCUAAGUCCAUGCAUAAUUGAUGGUUUGUUAAGCAUUGAUGGGAUUAAAUUCACCCAGAGUUCAACAGAAGACAACUAAGUACUAAUUUCUAUGCAACAGUCACGUGACCUGCACAACCGACCCAUCUCCACCAAGCUUCGGAUGAACUCAUCAAAGUCACUUAUCAAAAUUGCAAACCUCACAAUACAGACAUAGAAAAUGGUGACACAUGAGACAAAUAAAUACAGUGGAGGUGUGCAGUCCGAUAUGUUGGCAGUGGGGGGUGGAAAUUAAUAUUUUAAUGGGUCCAGUUUUUUAAUGAAUGAAGUGAGGUGUUUUAAGAUCUCUGCCUGCAUGUAAAGCUUUGAAAUAGAGUUUGUGUGUGUAUGUGUAGAUGUGUGAGCAUGUGUGUGUGUGUGUGUUUUAUAUAUACACAGACACACAGACACAUAUAAACACAUACACACAUGCGCACAUACAUACAUACAAAGAAAGAAAGAGUCAUCUAAGAAACCAUUAAUCUGAGAAAACAGGCACUCAUAUAUGUGUCAAUAAAAAGGGUCUAUUCAUAUUUUGUCAAUAUAGUGUUGUAGAUCCAUUUUAGCCAAUUUCACCAAUUGGUUAUGCUCCCAAGAAAUCAGAAAAGACCCAGUAAGAAAUGCUGGUAUGAAAAGUAUGGUGAUGGUUCUCUGCUCUAACCCUUCUGUCAUGACCCCAUAUACAGCAGUCUCUGUGGUGCAUUGGCCAUUAAGUAGACAUGUGGUGCACUUGCCAUGAAGUGGACAUCUGAUGUUACUUCUAUCAACAUAUUCAGCACAUAUCUAUAGAACAGUGCUUUUAUUAUACACUGGACUGUUAAAAGCCUAGUGGAAAACAAUUCAAUUUCUGAUACAGAAAUUAACUUUUCAAGAGAAUUCAUAUAAGGUUUUAUAAAACUGAAUAUAUCUUCAUAAGAACAACUCUAGAUUAUUUAUAGCAACUUUUAUCUUGUCUAUUUUGUUAGUGUGUGUGUGCAUGUUUGCAUGUAUUUUAUAUAUAUAUAUAUAUAUAUAUAUAUAUAUACACACUGUAAUACCAGUGCCGGUGGCACGUAAGAGAACCAUCCGAACAUGGCUGUGGCCAGUGCCGCCCGACUGGCAUUCGUGCCGGUGGCACGUAAAAAGCACCAUCCAACCGUGGCCAUUGCCAGCUUCGUCUGGUCCCCGUGCCGGUGGCAUGUAAAAAGCACCAACUGAUCAUGGCCGUUUGCCAGCCUCGUCUGGCACCUGUGCUGGUGGCACGUAAAAAGCACCCACUACACUCACGGAGUGGUUGGCGUUAGGAAGGGCAUCCAGCUGUAGAAACACUGCCAGAUCAGACUGGAGCCUGGUGCAGCCUUCUGGCUUCCAAGACCCCAGUUGAACCGUCCAACCCAUACCAGCAUGGAAAGCAAACGUUUAAACGAUGAUGAGAAUGAUGAUGAUGAUGAUACACACACAACCUGCAUGUGUGAGUGUGUGUGUGUGCGCACGUGAAUACAUUUAAGAGAAAGCAUGGCUGAGUUGUUAAGAAGUUUGCGUCACAAUUGUCAGUUGUUGGGUUUGAUCCCAAUGAGUGGCAUUUAGUAAAAGUGUCUUUUACUAUAGCCUCAGAUCAACCAUGCAUUGUGAAUGUCAUAAACUAUGUAGCAGCCCAAAACACAUGCAUGCAUACACAUUUACACACACACACACACACACACAUAGUUAGCUAAGGGAAAUAAGGGCAUGAACUUAGAAACUUGAGAUAGAUGGUGAUGUACUGAAGGAUGUAUUUCUAUCUUUUAUUUUUCACCUGUUUCAGUCACUGGACUGUGACAUUCCUGGGACACUACCUUGAAGGGUUUAGUGAAACAAAUCAACCCCAGUAUUUAUUUUUUAAGCCUGGUACUAAUUCUAUUGAUCUAUUUUGUUGAACUACUAAGUUACAGGGAUGUAAAGAAACUAACAAACAGUGGAAGCAGGGGAACAAAGGCACACGUAUAUACAUGAUGGUUUCUGCACAGGUUCUGUAUACCAAAUUCAUUCAUGAGGUAUUUGUCAACCCAGGGCUAUAAUGGAAGACAUUUGCCCAAGGUACUGCACUGUAGGAACUGAACCAAAAAUGACAGGGUUGUAAAGUGAGCUUCUUAGCCAAAUAAUUAUGUACAAAGCAAGAAUUUUCAAGGGACUCAUGUUUACUUCUUUUAGUUAAAGAAAGAAAAGAAAAUCCUGGUGGCACUUGUUGGUGAUUUGCAAAGAAAAAGGGAGAAAUAAUGCUUUUACAUUUUAGCUAUCAGCUUUAUUGGUUUGGGUCAAAUUUCACUAUUAGAUCAAUAUUCCAGCUUUUUGCCUCUUAACUUUAUUAUGGAACAUGUUUUCAAAGAACUUAAACAUUGGGUCCUUAAUGUUGAGGAUGGAGAUGUUUACUGCUAUGUUAAGCAACACAUAUCAAGCUGCUAUGUUGAAGUUCUCUGUGACAUUUUUACUGAUAGGGUGGUGGUUAAACCUGGGCAAGAACAAUGUUAAAAAGAAUUUGACAGAAAUAUUUCUAAAAAAAGAAAUUAAAAAUAAUUGUCAGUAAUUAACCGAGUUUUUGUUUUAUUGUAUUUACCAACUUAAUUUGAUUGUAAUAACUAACUGUGUUUUGAUGUAUGUAUGACUGUAUAUUUGCCUAUGUAUGGGUGUUUGUGCAUGUUGCAUCGUGGUGAGUAGAUUCAGGGAAAAAAUAAGCCAUAGUAGUUUUGAACAAUGUACAAACAUAGGUGAGAGAACUUGUACACACACACACACACACAGUGCUCCAAACAACUGUAUGUAUGUAAAUGACAUUUGAAAUCUUUUACAAACACACAGUAAAAUUUAGAAAUAUAUAUGAGAAACUAAAUUUCAACAUAAACUUUAAAGUUUUUAAUGUUGGUUCUUAGACAGCCACAAAAGAUUCCAUAGAGGAACUUUUGUAGGAAACAAAACAACAAUAAAACUAUUUCAGGACUUGGUAUAGGUCUCACCAAAGCCUCAGCUUCUUUGUAAAAGUUUAUAAGACUGAGUGAUGAGGCAUUGAAUUAUCAACUGUGUGGUUGUCAUAUCUGUUAUAGGAAUUCCAUCUCAUCACUGGCCAGAUGUUAUUCUACAUACUUCAUACCCUUAAAAGGAAUAGGUAAAUAUCAGGUUUUAAGGGUUCAAUACAGUAGCGAUAUUUAUUUCAAUUAAAUUUAAUGCUCUGGAAACAAUUGCUAAGGACCAGCUAUAAUGAACAUUUGUGAAAUGAUUAACUAUCUAAUGAUGCAAGUCAUUGUAAUUGAUAACCACAGUUGAUGAGACAAAAAGAAACAGUACAAAAAGCCAAGCAGAAAGGAAUGGAAAGGUCUGAUCCCUUGGCAUAUACUCUACUGACCUGCAGGAUUUGAAGCAGCUUUGUGUGCAAUAAUAAAGUGUAUUGGUGUUAUUGAGCCAGUAAAGGAUAUGGAGAGGAGAUAGAUAAAGAAGGUAGAUGUAAUUGAGUGUAGGCAUUUAUGUACAUAUUUCAAUGAAUAAUGUGUGUGUACACAAGUCUAUGAGCACAUGUAAUAUAUAUAUAUGCAUACUUUUAUGUGUCUAACUGUAUGUAUGAGUGCAUGUAUCUGAGAGGAUGCAUUUACAUGUUCCUGGGUGUUUAUAUAAUGUAUAUGCAUGAGAGUAAUGUCUAGGUGAAGGUGUAUGCAUUUGAUUGUAAGAAUGUAAACAAUAAGUGUGUGUGUGUAUGUGUGUGUCUGUGUGUGUGUGUCUGUGUGUGUGUGCGUGUGUGCGUGUGUUUGUAUAUAAAUAUAUAUGUAUGUAUGUAUGCACACACACACAUAGGUGUGUGUGUAUGCGUGCAGGUGUAUAUGUGUCUGUCUGUUGCUUAGCAACUGAGCUCUAUGGAAAUGGUAAAUAAAUAAUAUACAGCUUACAGAAUCAAAUUACCAGUGAGAUACAGUAAUUGGAUGGAGGUUGUUAGAAGGUGGAGGUGAAUGUAUAUGUUUUGUAUAGGUGUGUGUGUAUGUGUGUGUGUAUGUGUAUGUGGGUGCAGUACAUGGCUGAAUGGGUAUGCUUUUAGUCACCUGUAUAUAUAUAUAUUUGAAUAUGUAUAAGUGUUGUUAUGUUCCAUCAUCUGUGUGUGAGAGUCAUAAUCCAUGUAUGCAAAUGUGUGCAUUUGCAGAGUAUUUUGUAGUUACAUGCAUGAUUGUGUAUGCAUGUAUCUGUAUUGUAGACUGUUGACUAUAUGUAUUCUGAUUACCUAUGUAUAUGUGUGUAGAUAUAAGCAUCAGUAUUCACUAUUGCGAUUAUUUAUACAUUUAUGCAAGUGUGUGAAAGAGUGUAUAUAUAUGUGCAUGCAUGUGGCAUGUGCAUUUGCAUGCGUGUGUGCGUGCACAUGUUAAGGUACACUGCAUUGUAGAUAACAAUGAGGAUCAAUAUAUAAGAAACAAGAGUUUUCAGAGCACAUAAUGCUCAAAAUCUCAAAUCGUCCCAUAGAGCACUAGAUAAUACACCAGUUUAGCAUAUUACCUUUAGAAUUCUUAUACAAACAGAAUGUGUAUGAUGAUUCACUCAUUACAGGAUCUCAUAUAUGUAGUAUAGUGAACUGAAAAGCUUCAAUAAACGUAUAUUAUUCUUGUAAUUAGAAGGCAAAAAAUAUACAGCCAGUUGGGUUUAAACUUAAAAACAACAAGGAAGGUGUGUAAUUCAAAUAAAAUCAAAUAUUUCAAAUUUUUGGAAAAUAACGACAAUAUAGUUAGGAAUAAAUUUUGUCUUUAAAGUCAACUGGUGAAAAUAAGGGACAUGUUUCUGUCUUAUUAGGUUUCCUCUGUGCGAGAUGCUCAUGUCAGUUAGCAACACUUAGUGAUCAGCAUAAACAGAGGGAAAACAGCAACAUUGAAUAUCAAAAAUAAUGAUAAUAUGGCUGAUGGAAAAUGCCUCAAGGAAUGAUUCAGCAUGCUCUAUAAAUAUAUAUAAGCAUCUUACAUAUGUAAUGUACUAAGUUGAAAAUGUUUGAUGAACUCAGAUCAUCCGUGUAAUAAGAUGAAAAUUGCACUCUGGGGUGGUGUACCCAUAAGCAACAUGUUCUGUCAAACUAUAUUUGUGAGAGUAUACAACAGAGGCAAGCGUAACUGCAGGUAUAUACACAGGGGCAUGGCUAAGAAACAUGCUUCUUAAUGAUGUGGUUUUUAGGCUCAGUCCAUUGUGAGGCACCUUGGGCAAGUGUCUUCCACAAUAGCCCUAGGCCAGCCAAAGACUUGUAAGUGGAUUUGGUACAUAGAAACUGACGUGUGUGUGUGUGUGUUUGUGUUUGUGUGUUUGUGUGUGUGUGCAUGUGUGUUUGUGUGUGUGCAUGUGCGUGUGUGUGUGUAGACUUGUUUUGACAUCAUGUGAUGGUUAUGAAGGCUCAUGACUCAGUGGUUAGAACAUCAGGCUCACAAUCCUGAAGUAGUGAAUUUGAUUCCUGGACUACACAAUAUGUUGUGUUCUUGAGCAAGAUAAUUUACUUCCUGCUGCUCCAGUUCACUCAGCUGUAGAAAGGAGUUGUAAUGUCCAUGGCCCCAAGCUUUAUUGUCCUUUGCCUUUCCCUUGGAUAGCAUCAGUGGCAUGGAGAAGGGAGACUGGUGGGCAUGGGCAACUGCUGGUCUUCCAUAAAACUAACCUUGCUUGGACUUGUGCCUCAGAGGAGAACUUUCUAGGUGCAAUCCCAUGGUCAUUCAUGACCGAAAGGGGUCUUUUUUUUUUAUGGUUAUAAAUGAACAUCACCAUCAUACAAGUGAUGUUUGUUUCUAGUUUUCCAUGAAAAAGAUGUUUGGCCAUGGGGAAAUAUGACCUUGUUCGAAAAAAGUGAAGGUUGGUGACAGGAAGGACAUCAAACUGUUGAAAAUUUGCCUAAACAAAUUUUGUCAACUUCUUGUUAGCAUAGAAAAGUAGAUGUUAAAAUUAUGGAGAUGAUAUAGUGAGUCAACUGUACAGUUGAAUACCUACAAUAACAAUAAUUAAUAAAUCUAAAAAAACAAUUUACCAUACUUAUGAAGGUUAAUGAACAAUGUAGAAUAUCUUAAAUCACAAAUUUGUGAACAUUGCAGAACAUUUAUAAGAAUCCACAUCUUCUGGACUGCUUCUAGCAGCAAAUUGACAAAUACUAACCCAAACAUAUACAUACACCAAAAAAUAUGCAUCCAUACAUUAUAUUCUUUCUUUGCCAUGGUGUUGGACAUUUUUAAAAAGCUUAAGCAUGACAAUUUGUCCAUCAGCUUUCAAUCAUCACAGCUGGUUUGAUCCCUAGGAGAAACAUUGGUAAAAUGCAGCUUGAAGUUACUGUGGAAAAAUCUAAAAAAUAUCUCUUCUACUCAUUGACUUCUACUUAGUAUUCAUCUACUUGGUCUAAAUAUAAGAAAUAUUACCAUAUCUGGUAUAAUGCAAGUAACUUUAAAUUCACAUUAGACCACAAGUACACAUAACAUUGACUUUAGAUGCACACAUACAUUUAUUGGUUUAAAGUCUAUGUUAAACUGACAAGAGUCCAAAUCAUUACAAUAACGAGACUAAUUGAUCAGGGUCUAAUCAUAAGUGGGUUGAUCUACAUAUGUCCAGUUAUUACUGUUGGUAAUAACUGGAUAUUGAUAUAACGAGAUUGAUCACUGGAUUAAUAUUGGUAAUAACUGAAAAGAACUUGUGUUUCAAUCUGAAGUGACUGACAUCUAAAUAUUUCAAAUAACUAAUCAGGGUGUCUGUGAAUGACCAUAGUAUGUCCCAUAUUAUUGCUAAUAAUUGCAGAGUAUGACAUGUGAUAUGAAAAUAUAUUUUGUUUAAAUAUCAGUAAUAAUAUAACCUCAUUAUUAUAUCAUAUUACAAGGAUGGAGCCGAGUUUAAAUAUUGGUUAUAACUGUAUACUUCAUCUGAGACAGAUUGUGUAAAUUCCACAGUUCAUCAAAAACUGACCAUGGCCUAAAUUCAUGACUUCAUGUAUAUAUAUACUAAUACCCAAAUGUGGUUUUAGGCACAGAUGUGGGUGCAUGAUUAAGAAGCUUGCUUCCCAACCACAUGGUUUUGGGUUCAGUCUCACUGCAUGACACGAUGGGCAGGUGUCUUCUAUUACAGGCUGGGGCUGAACAACUCUUUGUAUGCAAUGUGUGUGUGUGUUUGUGAGUGU